UUUGGUGGCGAUAGCGAAGAGGUCACACCCGUUCCCAUUCCGAACACGGCAGUUAAGCUCUUCAGCGCCGAUGGUAGUUGGGGGUUUCCCCCCUGUGAGAGUCAGGACGCCGCCAAGC
rnacentral:rRNA from 1 species